GAUGAACGCUGGCGGCGUGCCUAAUACAUGCAAGUCGAGCGAACGGACGAGAAGCUUGCUUCUCUGAUGUUAGCGGCGGACGGGUGAGUAACACGUGGAUAACCUACCUAUAAGACUGGGAUAACUUCGGGAAACCGGAGCUAAUACCGGAUAAUAUUUUGAACCGCAUGGUUCAAAAGUAAAAGACGGUCUUGCUGUCACUUAUAGAUGGAUCCGCGCUGCAUUAGCUAGUUGGUAAGGUAACGGCUUACCAAGGCAACGAUGCAUAGCCGACCUGAGAGGGUGAUCGGCCACACUGGAACUGAGACACGGUCCAGACUCCUACGGGAGGCAGCAGUAGGGAAUCUCCCGCAAUGGGCGAAAGCCUGACGGAGCAACGCCGCGUGAGUGAUGAAGGUCUUCGGAUCGUAAAACUCUGUUAUUAGGGAAGAACAUAUGUGUAAGUAACUGUGCACAUCUUGACGGUACCUAAUCAGAAAGCCACGGCUAACUACGUG
rnacentral:rRNA from 1 species